ACCUCAGAGUCCAAAUUUGAACAACCAAGUAAAUAUCAAAGACCCCAGCUGCCAAUCACCUACUAUGCUACAAUGCUCAACCCAAUGAGUAAUGUGCUUAAGUAAACUUAUUUGCCCUGUGGAUUCUUGAUGGAACUUCACCAGUCUUGUCGGAGAGGAAUCUGCCUUCUCACCAUUGUUCCUUGUGUACAUUAGGAACACCGCUCUCUGAUAAACAGGAGCUAGGAUGGUGAAAUGCAAUGUCCAACAGCAACUAGAAUUGGCUAAAUUUGAAGCUGAAGAGAGACAAAAAGCAUGACAGACAGCCUUAAAACGCUUGGAGUUGGAAGCAGAAGAGGAAAGAGGUGAAACGCACGGAGGUGAAACGCUUGGAGAUGGAGGUAGCACUGAGGCACUUAGAUCUGGAAAAGGCUAAACUGAAUCUACCAGUUAACCCUACAAAUCCUUCUCUGGGUGCCGCUCCCCACUCAAGGAAAUUUCCCACCUACAAGGCAAGCAAUGAUACUGAGGCCUUCUUGGAAAAUUUCAAAAGGGCCUGCCUUGGGUACAGCAUCUCUACAGACCAGUACAUGGUAGA